GAUGAACGCUGGCGGCGUGCCUAAUACAUGCAAGUCGAGCGAACAGAUGAGAAGCUUGCUCCUUUGACGUUAGCGGCGGACGGGUGAGUAACACGUAGGUAACCUACCUAUAAGACUGGGAUAACUUCGGGAAACCGGAGCUAAUACCGGAUAAUAUUUCGAACCGCAUGGUUCGAUAGUGAAAGAUGGCUUUGCUAUCACUUAUAGAUGGACCUGCGCCGUAUUAGCUAGUUGGUAAGGUAACGGCUUACCAAGGCAACGAUACGUAGCCGACCUGAGAGGGUGAUCGGCCACACUGGAACUGAGACACGGUCCAGACUCCUACGGGAGGCAGCAGUAGGGAAUCUUCCGCAAUGGGCGCAAGCCUGACGGAGCAACGCCGCGUGAGUGAUGAAGGUCUUCGGAUCGUAAAACUCUGUUAUUAGGGAAGAACAAACGUGUAAGUAACUGUGCACGUCUUGACGGUACCUAAUCAGAAAGCCACGGCUAACUACGUGCCAGCAGCCGCCGUAA
rnacentral:rRNA from 1 species